rnacentral:rRNA from 1 species
UGGCCAGACUCCUACGGGAGGCAGCAGUGGGGAAUAUUGCACAAUGGGGGAAACCCUGAUGCAGCAACGCCGCGUGAGUGAAGAAGUCAUUCGUGAUGUAAAGCUCUAUCAGCAGGGAAGAAAAUGACGGUACCUGAGUAAGAAGCCCCGGCUAACUACGUGCCAGCAGCCGCGGUAAUACGUAGGGGGCAAGCGUUGUUCGGAAUGACUGGGCGUAAAGGGUGCGUAGGCGGUGUAGCAAGUUAGAAGUGAAAUACCUAGAGCUUAACUCAGGUGCUGCUUCUAAAACUGCUAUACUUGAGUGCAGUAGAGGAAAGUGGAAUUCCUAGUGUAGCGGUGGAAUGCGUAGAUAUUAGGAGGAACAUCAGUGGCGAAGGCGACUUUCUGGACUGUAACUGACGCUGAGGCACGAAAGUGUGGGGAGCAAACAGGAUUAGAUACCCGUGUAC